CAUACAGAGGAAGAAGGAGGGAGAGAAAGGAACGCAAAAGAAGAGGAGGAGUGACUAAGUAGAACUAGUUCAGAUGAAAUGCAAAAGCUCAAUUAUGCCACACAAAUUGGCCACUUGGAAGCAGGUCUCAAUCAGCAGGGAAAACAGUUGGAACAGGUUCUUCACAUCAUGGGACAUCCAGGAGAGACCACUGAUUCUGUGGGCAUGGGACAUCCAGAAGAGACCAAUGACCCUGUGAGCAUGGGGCAUCCAGAAGAGACCACUAACACAUUGCCAUGAGACUCUACAAUCACCCAUCUUCUUGAAACACAGAAAAUGGGUGACUGGAGUGUGGAAGGACCACAGUUGUGAGGUCCCCAAAACAGCCUCACGGCCAUGUGCCAUCCUGCCACUGUCCUUUGUCUACCGCUGAAAUCAAAGAUCAUGAGAACUUAAGUCGUAGGCCCUCCAUGGAGGCCUCUUUUCACAUUUCCCAGCUCCACCUCUAAGUCUUCUAAGUUUCAGUGAUUCUUUUUAUAUAAAGUUCCUCUGUUAACGAAACAAAAAAACCUGCGUAUGCAACACCUGGCUCACGUGAAAGUGCAGAUGAGACGACAAUAUUAGCAAUUUGUAUUUGAAGUCAAGGAAAUAUUAAUACAUUCUUAGCAAUGUUGAAAA